GCGUAUAGCCUGCCGGAAUCUAUUAGAAGAAGCAGAAGAAGAAGAAAUUGUUAUGGGGGUGAGGGCGGGGCGGAGGUGUCGCGGGAUUUUUGUAUCCCGGAAGUACACCGGAAGCUGCAAAGCCAACGAUGAGAGCAGAAGAAACAGGAAGCUCAUGUGCUCCUUGUGCGUCUCUGUUCUCCCCUCCAGCCUUCUCCGUGGUCAGGCCGUCAGCCUCUCUGCUUGGCCCCUCCUCUGAGCAUCUCUCCGGGUGCUCGGCCACACUUGUCUGGAUGUUUGGAUGAUAAAGAUUGAACGGAGAAACAACAUGACAUGUGCUGGUCUCACAUUUAAUGAAAAUAACUCAAGAUUUAUUCAGUUUUCUUUCUUCUGGUGCAUAGAGCCUUGGAAAGACUUUACACACUUGAUGGACAGCUUGUGAAAGAUCCACAAGACUUGAAGAACGAUGGAAAAUAUGUUGCUGUUACCAGGGGAAGGUUUAAACCUGCCGACUACUUCCAGCCAGUCCGAGUGCCCCUGAAGAAAAAGGGCAAGAAUAAAUGUGAAGAAACUCCACCUGCUGUUCAGGCGACACGUCACAAAAAACAAGUGGAUGACAAGAUCAAGGAGAAGAAGGAUGACAUUUGGAUACAUCCCCCAAGUUCCAAACUGUCCUCCCCCCAUCAGUCAGAUGUGGAGACGUCUUCACCUGCAUUGUCUAACAAAGAUGAUGGAGGAUGAAGACUUUCCCCAAGGCUGUGAUUCAUCACAUCCAGCACACAGAGCACAAAAUAAAAGCAAAAUAAAUUAAAUUUUGCACACCAAAUUAUUGUUUUUCAUUAUUUUGAAGAUGUCUGUUCUACAAUCAUUCUGCCCCAGAAAAAGAACAAUUCAAAUAAAUUCCUGACGGCCCAAUAUUAUCAUGACAUUCAUGCAUGUUCCUCAAAUUCGGGUCCUUUACCAGAGGCCUGGGAGUUUGAGGGUUUGGCGCAGUAUCUUAGCUGUUUCUACAACUGCACUCUUCUGGACAGACACCUCUGAUGUUGUACCUGAAAUCUGUUGGAGCCACUCUUCCAUUUUGGGGGUUACAGCUGCGAGU